rnacentral:rRNA from 1 species
CCCUUAGAUGUUCUGGGCCGCACGCGCGCUACAAUGAUUGUCUCAGCAUGUUUUGGGUGUGUAAAUACCCAGGAAUCCCGAGUAACAAACGUGAUGGGGCUAGACCCUUGCAAUUUUUGGUCUCCAACGAGGAAUUCCUAGUAAAGGCAGGUCAUUAACCUGCCUUGAUUACGUCCCUGCCCUUUGUACACACCGCCCGUCGCACCUACCGAUUGAAUGGUCCGGUGAAAUCUCCAGACGUGGUUUUACCAUGAAAGCUGAUUGAACCUUAUCAUUUAGAGGAAGGUGAAGUCGUAACA